UACGAAGGGGGCUAGCGUUUCUCGGAAUCACUGGGCGUAAAGCGCACGUAGGCGGACUCUUAAGUCGGGGGUGAAAUCCUGGAGCUCAACUCCAGAACUGCCUUCGAUACUGGGAGUCUUGAGUUCGGGAGAGGUGAGUGGAACUGCGAGUGUAGAGGUGAAAUUCGUAGAUAUUCGCAAGAACACCAGUGGCGAAGGCGGCUCACUGGCCCGAUACUGACGCUGAGGUGCGAAAGCGUGGGGAGCAAACAGG
rnacentral:rRNA from 1 species